CGGGCUAUAGAAUGAGCUAGUCAAGGUUUCUCUAGAGACUACAAUAUGGGGUUCUUCAAAACAUACCCUGUAUUAAAGAUUGUUCAAGGUCGGCAUCGCGCACGUGACACCCCUAGUGUUGCAGGCGUCCAUUGGCCACAGUUCCACAUCUGGUAAAAUAAUUAUUAAAACGCCAAUGUGCAAAACAAAUCUAUGAGAAUGAGAAAAGGCCACGGAACAGGAUUCAAUUACUCGAAAGCAAUUAGGGGAAUUGAGACACGGUGUGGGAGGUCGUGCCGGCAAUCGACUGAUAACAAUGGAGUGGUAUCCCCGCCUGCGCUAACGAUAUACGCUGGCGGAGCACCAUUGACGGAUGAUUAGCCCAUCGUGAUUAAUACACCUGGGAUCCAGCACGAUGGUUUCCAGAGGGACUAUAUGGAGGUGGACAUGACAGGGUAUAUUGCUAGCGAUGCCACUGGUAGUCCGCAUUACUAUCGAACCCUUCCCCCUUCCACCAAUUGUCUUGUCCUCAAGCUAGAAUAACCUGCGCUAUGAGCACCCGCAUAAUCUACAUUUGAGGACACAACCCAGAACAGCCAGGCUGGGGUCCAUUUAGAAAAUUUCCUUAACUAAAUUGACCCGGUCGAGAAUCAAACUUGGAAACUUAUUACGCUAAGCAAUGUACCCACUGUCGCGCCACGAAAGUCGUCUUUUAUUUGUUAAGUUCAUGAUAUUAUUCUUAUUUGCCAAAUUAUGAUAAAAAGCGUGAUCACUAAGAAAAAUUACGAUGCAUCAUCUUUUACAUAACUUUUAGUUCCAAAUUUAAAUAUUUUAUAUUUUAUUACAGCUCUCACACAAUCCCACCAAUGGCCUAGUCUUCAAGCUAGGUUACCCUGUGUUAUGAGAAACCAAAUAACAAAUAUCAAAAAGCACAACCUAGAACAACUAGACUAGAGAAGUCCUGAAUUGGAUCGUACGGGAUCAAACCCAAUACUUUUUUACGCAAAGCAACGUGCCCACCACAGCUCUCCGGAGCUUGUCAAAUUUUAUUCACAUUUCAUCGGCAACAUGUCAUAAUAGGCGACUAAGAUAACAAAGUACCAUCCACCUGUGUAUACCCAAAUAAUAAAUCUCGAAAUAUCAAACGGCUUGAAUAGCAUGGAGCAUUAAACUUUACAUUUUAUACAAUAUAGUAUGGUAAACAUAUUUAUUACUACUUUCCAUUGGUAUCAACAACGGACAUCACAAAAUACACUGUGUCGCCCUUUUAUGCUUUGCUAUUGUUGAAAAUUAAAAUGUGACGGCUCCCUAUUUUGUUAUUUUAAUACCAAAUCUCAGUACAACUGCUUUGCAGAAUCACACGAACUUAU